rnacentral:lncRNA from 1 species
UUCAGACAUCGUGGUUUCAGAUGUGCAAGGUUCUGCUUUACACCUCUUCAGACCGAGAGAAGCAGAGCUGCACUCAGUAUCAGCGGGUUUUUCCACUACCGCUCUAAAAUCUUCUGGAGUGCUAAAAGGCAGAGAAGAAUCUACGUCUGAUGAUUUGGAGCUCAGAAAGGAGGUGCUCCAGCCUUCAUAAGGUCUUCAGCCUCACCCCGUGGACAUCCAGGCUGCGUACUGUGAAGUUCUGUCUGUCUUUACAUCCUGUCUGCAGCCAUUACAGAGUCCUGGAGUCCUGUAAGGACUGGGAUUUGAUCAUCCAGCUCCGAUCAGAAUCUGUCCAGAUGGAUGGAUUCCAAGGGACAGCUCAUGGCUUGGAAAGAUAGGGCAUAUAAGAUAAAAUGACAAACAGCGAUGCUCUUGAGAAGGCAAAUGAGGAGCUUCUUUAUUUUAUGGUGUCAUGAAAAAAGGGUAGUGGUGGAUACCAAGAAACUAAACUAAACACCUGGAGCUGGCCUCUGCUGACAGCAAGCUCCUGAGCCCUGCAGUGUCUGGAUAUCAUCAGUUUAACAAUUUCUAAGGUUAGACACAACCAAGCUCUCAAGAAUUCUUAACGCUUCUUAUCUUCAGCUAAUCGCCAUAGAUCAUGGAACUUAAAAGCCUCACAAAGACACGUGUCAGAAGUCUGAUUUUAAGGAUCCACAAGUCUUCCUGGCCGAACUGUUGCCUCCAUGUGAGGAAUGAUCCCAUGACUGAACCUGUUCCACCUGCUCUGUCCUGAGGAGGGAAGAGGAGCCCUGUUCUGUCUGAUGGGAGUCUCCCCUGAAAUGUGAAACGUCUGGAAGGAGAAAAGGGCAAGGAGAAAACUGGGUGGGAAACCAUCAUUUGCACAGUGUGUGAAAGGUGAAGAGCUGAGGGGAGAGGAACGGUCUGGAAAUGUGAAGGAAAAAAAAAAAGAAAAACACAUAAAGAAGACAGCAGGAAGAUGGGAGAGGAGCAGUAAUGAGUUUAAUAAGAUGAGAAGGUGGAAGAGGAAGGCUGUUAUCUCUGCAGUUGUGCAGGACAGUGUUGGUUGCACAGAGUGGCCGUGAGGAAGGAGUUCAUUUACAGGAAAAGAGCUCGCUGAGCUAAGGGCAGCCAGGAGGACUCAGAGCAACGGGAAGCAAGGAAAGCAGUUCAUAGAAUCAUAGAGCUGGAAGGGACCCUUAAAGGCCAUCUGGUCCAACCCCCUGCAAUAAGCAGGGACACCCACAGCUCCAACAGGUGCUCAGAGCCCCAUCCAGCCUGACCUGGGGUGUCUGCAGGGACGGGACAACCCCCAGCUCUCUGGGCAACCUGUGCCAGUGCUGCACUACCCUUACCAUAAAAAAUGUUUUCCUUAUAUCCAAUCUAAAUCUCCCUUCUUUUACUUUGAAAUCAUUUCCUUUGUCCUAUCAAAACAGCCCCUGCUAAAGCGUCCCUAUCCUUCUUUCUUACAGCCCCCCAUUAGUUACUGAAGGGCUGCUCUCAGGUCUCCCCAGAGCCUUCCCUUCUCCAGGCUGCACAGCCCCAGCUCUCUCAGCCUGUCCUCAAAGGGAGGCAUUCCAUCCCUUGGAGCAUUUCUGUCCUCCCCCUCUGGAUGUGCUCCAACAGAUCCGUGUCUCUCCUUCAGCAAAAUUCCAGCUGAGGGCACCGCAGAGUUGCCCCCAUGUCAAUUUAGUGCCUGAGCUCCGUGACCCUCGUGGGACCCAGCAGGAUGACCAUUGCCAUGCCUUGUAUUCUUCGUCAGGUGGGAGCACUGUGUGACCACACCUGCUGCUGCUAAGCUCACAGCAUCGUGCAGGUGGGCUGCGCAGUAGCAGCAGAAGGGAGGACAUUGCAGUUCCCCAACCUGCUUCACGCUCUGAAGUUUGGAAUGCAAUUAAGCGCAUUUAAUUCUGACUUGCAUUAACUGCAUGCAGAAACCAGAAAGAAAUCCACCCCAAAAGAAACCCUGCGCACGGAGUGCCAGAAAUGUUAAUCACACGCAGCUAAUCCCAAAAGACGGGGCUGUAACUGUAAACUCUGCAACAGCACAAACAACAUUUCUUUAGAUGUGCUGCAUGCGUUUCCCUUCUUAAAUGCAGCACUUCAUAGAAUCUUAGGACGGUUUUGUGUAGAC